rnacentral:rRNA from 1 species
UACGUAGGGGGCGAGCGUUAUCCGGAUUCACUGGGUGUAAAGGGAGCGUAGACGGCUGGGCAAGCCUGAUGUGAAAGGCGGGGGCGCAACCCUCGGACUGCAUUGGGAACUGUCCGGCUGGAGCGCCGGAGGGGUAAGCGGAAUUCCUGGUGUAGCGGUGAAAUGCGUAGAUAUCAGGAGGAACACCGGUGGCGAAGGCGGUCAACUGGACAGCAACUGACGCUGAGGCGCGAAAGCGUGGGGAGCAAACAGG